GAGCAAUCUGCCCCUGACUCUGGGAUAAGCGCUGGAAACGGCGUCUAAUACCGGAUACGAGCUGCGAAGGCAUCUUCAGCAGUUGGAAAGAAUUUCGGUCAGGGAUGAGCUCGCGGCCUAUCAGCUUGUUGGUGAGGUAAUGGCUCACCAAGGCGUCGACGGGUAGCCGGCCUGAGAGGGUGACCGGCCACACUGGGACUGAGACACGGCCCAGACUCCUACGGGAGGCAGCAGUGGGGAAUAUUGCACAAUGGGCGGAAGCCUGAUGCAGCAACGCCGCGUGAGGGAUGACGGCCUUCGGGUUGUAAACCUCUUUUAGCAGGGAAGAAGCGAAAGUGACGGUACCUGCAGAAAAAGCGCCGGCUAACUACGUGCCAGCAGCCGCGGUAAUACGUAGGGCGCAAGCGUUAUCCGGAAUUAUUGGGCGUAAAGAGCUCGUAGGCGGUCUGUCGCGUCUGCUGUGAAAUCCCGAGGCUCAACCUCGGGUCUGCAGUGGGUACGGGCAGACUAGAGUGCGGUAGGGGAGAUUGGAAUUCCUGGU
rnacentral:rRNA from 1 species